rnacentral:rRNA from 1 species
UACGGAGGGUGCGAGCGUUAAUCGGAAUUACUGGGCGUAAAGCGUCCGUAGGCGGCUUGUUAAGUCUGAUGUGAAAGCCCUGGGCUUAACCUGGGAACGGCAUUGGAUACUGGCGAGCUAGAGUUCGGUAGAGGGUGGUGGAAUUCCCGGUGUAGCGGUGAAAUGCGUAGAGAUCGGGAGGAACACCGGUGGCGAAGGCGGCCACCUGGACGAAGACUGACGCUCAGGUGCGAAAGCGUGGGGAGCAAACAGG